rfam:Ornithorhynchus anatinus chromosome 2, whole genome shotgun sequence.
UCCCUUUCAGGAUGGCACCUGUAGAGUUUCCAGUACUCUAUCAGUCUUGGUUACGGGAAGGAGAGUCAAGCAGAGGCAUACCCAUUCCAUUCCUAGCUUGGACAGUGACUAGCGAAUGGAAGACAAUCUGCUACAAGU